UACACUGCCCAGAGGUAUGGAUCAGCCUCUAAUAUACACUGCCCAGAGGGAUGGACCAGCCUCUAAUAUACACUGCCCAGAGGUAUGGAUCAGCCUCUAAUAUACACUGCCCAGAGGUAUGGAUCAGCCUCUAAUAUACACUGCCCAGAGGGAUGGAUCAGCCUCUAAUAUACACUGCCCAGAGGGAUGGAUCAGCCUCUAAUAUACACUGCCCAGAGGUAUGGAUCAGCCUCUAAUAUACACUGCCCAGAGGGAUGGAUCAGCCUCUAAUAUACACUGCCCAGAGGGAUGGAUCAGCCUCUAAUAUAAACUGCCCAGAGGGAUGGAUCAGCCUCUAAUAUACACUGCCCAGAGGGAUGGAUCAGCCUCUAAUAUACACUGCCCAGAGGGAUGGAUCAGCCUCUAAUAUACACUGCCCAGAGGGAUGGAUCAGCCUCUAAUAUACACUGCCCAGAGGGAUGGAUCAGCCUCUAAUAUACACUGCCCAGAGGGAUGGAUCAGCCUCUAAUAUACACUGCCCAGAGGGAUGGAUCAGCCUCUAAUAUAAACUGCCCAGAGGGAUGGAUCAGCCUCUAAUAUACACUGCCCAGAGGGAUGGAUCAGCCUCUAAUAUACACUGCCCAGAGGGAUGGAUCAGCCUCUAAUAUACACUGCCCAGAGGGAUGGAUCAGCCUCUAAUAUACACUGCCCAGAGGGAUGGAUCAGCCUCUAAUAUACACUGCCCAGAGGGAUGGAUCAGCCUCUAAUAUACACUGCCCAGAGG